UUAAGUUAGAAAGGGCGCACGGUGAAUGCCUUGGCACUAGGAGCCGAUGAAGGACGGGACUAACACCGAUAUGCUUCGGGGAGCUGUAAGUGAGCUUUGAUCCGGAGAUUUCCGAAUGGGGAAACCCACUGUUCGUAAUGGAACAGUAUCUUUAUCUGAAUACAUAGGAUAUUGAAGGCAGACCCGGGGAACUGAAACAUCUAAGUACCCGGAGGAAGAGAAAGCAAAUGCGAUUUCCUGAGUAGCGGCGAGCGAAACGGAAUUAGCCCAAACCAAGAGGCUUGCCUCUUGGGGUUGUAGGACACUCUAUACGGAGUUACAAAGGAACGAAGUAAAUGAAGCGACCUGGAAAGGUCCGUCGAAGAAGGUAACAACCCUGUAGUUGAAACUUCGUUCCCUCUUGAGUGGAUCCUGAGUACGGCGGAACACGUGAAAUUCCGUCGGAAGCUGGGAGGACCAUCUCCCAAGGCUAAAUACUACCUAGUGACCGAUAGUGAACCAGUACCGUGAGGGAAAGGUGAAAAGCACCCCGGAAGGGGAGUGAAAGAGAUCCUGAAACCGUGUGCCUACAAGUAGUCAGAGCCCGUUAACGGGUGAUGGCGUGCCUUUUGUAGAAUGAACCGGCGAGUUACGAUCCCAUGCAAGGUUAAGCUGAUAAGGCGGAGCCGUAGCGAAAGCGAGUCUGAAUAGGGCGUUUAGUAUGUGGUUGUAGACCCGAAACCAGGUGAUCUACCCAUGUCCAGGGUGAAGUUCAGGUAACACUGAAUGGAGGCCCGAACCCACGCACGUUGAAAAGUGCGGGGAUGAGGUGUGGGUAGCGGAGAAAUUCCAAUCGAACCUGGAGAUAGCUGGUUCUCUCCGAAAUAGCUUUAGGGCUAGCCUCAUGUUGUGAGAGUCUUGGAGGUAGAGCACUGAUUGGACUAGGGGCCCCCAACGGGUUACCGAAUUCAGUCAAACUCCGAAUGCCAAAGACUUAUCCAUGGGAGUCAGACUGCGAGUGAUAAGAUCCGUAGUCAAAAGGGAAACAGCCCAGACCACCAGCUAAGGUCCCCAAGUAUACGUUAAGUGGAAAAGGAUGUGGAGUUGCUUAGACAACCAGGAUGUUGGCUUAGAAGCAGCCACCAUUUAAAGAGUGCGUAAUAGCUCACUGGUCGAGUGACUCUGCGCCGAAAAUGUACCGGGGCUAAACGUAUCACCGAAGCUGUGGAUUGACAUCUUUGAUGUCAGUGGUAGGAGAGCGUUCUAAGUGCUGUGAAGUCAGACCGUAAGGACUGGUGGAGCGCUUAGAAGUGAGAAUGCCGGUAUGAGUAGCGAAAGACAAGUGAGAAUCUUGUCCACCGAAUGCCUAAGGUUUCCUGAGGAAGGCUCGUCCGCUCAGGGUUAGUCGGGACCUAAGCCGAGGCUGAAAAGCGUAGGCGAUGGCCAACAGGUUGAUAUUCCUGUACCACCUCCCCGCCGUUUGAGUAAUGGGGGGACGCAGUAGGAUAGGGUAAGCGCGCUGCUGGAUAUGCGCGUUCAAGCAGUUAGGCUGAUGAGUAGGCAAAUCCGCUCAUCAUAAAGGCUGAGCUGUGAUGACGAGGGAAUUAUAGUACCGAAGUUCCUGAUUCCACACUGCCAAGAAAAGCCUCUAGCGAGGCGGGAGGUGCCCGUACCGCAAACCGACACAGGUAGGCGAGGAGAGAAUCCUAAGGUGAUCGAGAGAACUCUCGUUAAGGAACUCGGCAAAAUGACCCCGUAACUUCGGGAGAAGGGGUGCUCUGGUAGGGUGUAUAGCCCGAGAGAGCCGCAGUGAAUAGGCCCAGGCGACUGUUUAGCAAAAACACAGGUCUCUGCGAAGCCGCAAGGCGAAGUAUAGGGGCUGACGCCUGCCCGGUGCUGGAAGGUUAAGAGGAGGGGUUAUCCUUUGGGAGAAGCUCUGAAUCGAAGCCCCAGUAAACGGCGGCCGUAACUAUAACGGUCCUAAGGUAGCGAAAUUCCUUGUCGGGUAAGUUCCGACCCGCACGAAAGGCGUAACGAUCUGGGCACUGUCUCAACGAGAGACUCGGUGAAAUUAUAGUACCUGUGAAGAUGCAGGUUACCCGCGACAGGACGGAAAGACCCCGUGGAGCUUUACUGUAGCCUGAUAUUGAAUUUUGGUACAGCUUGUACAGGAUAGGUAGGAGCCUGAGAAGCCGGAGCGCUAGCUUCGGUGGAGGCGUCGGUGGGAUACUACCCUGGCUGUAUUGAAAUUCUAACCCGCGGCCCUGAUCGGGCCGGGAGACAGUGUCAGGUGGGCAGUUUGACUGGGGCGGUCGCCUCCUAAAAUGUAACGGAGGCGCCCAAAGGUUCCCUCAGAAUGGUUGGAAAUCAUUCGUAGAGUGUAAAGGCACAAGGGAGCUUGACUGCGAGACCUACAAGUCGAGCAGGGACGAAAGUCGGGCUUAGUGAUCCGGUGGUUCCGCAUGGAAGGGCCAUCGCUCAACGGAUAAAAGCUACCCCGGGGAUAACAGGCUUAUCUCCCCCAAGAGUCCACAUCGACGGGGAGGUUUGGCACCUCGAUGUCGGCUCAUCGCAUCCUGGGGCUGUAGUCGGUCCCAAGGGUUGGGCUGUUCGCCCAUUAAAGCGGUACGCGAGCUGGGUUCAGAACGUCGUGAGACAGUUCGGUCCCUAUCCGUCGUGGGCGUAGGAAAUUUGAGAGGAGCUGUCCUUAGUACGAGAGGACCGGGAUGGACACACCGCUGGUGUACCAGUUGUCUUGCCAAAGGCAUCGCUGGGUAGCUAUGUGUGGACGGGAUAAGUGCUGAAAGCAUCUAAGCAUGAAGCCCCCCUCAAGAUGAGAUUUCCCAUAGCGCAAGCUAGUAAGAUCCCUGAAAGAUGAUCAGGUUGAUAGGUCAGAGGUGGAAGCAUGGCGACAUGUGUAGCUGACUGAUACUAAUCGAUCGAGGACUUAACCAA
rnacentral:rRNA from 2 species